AUUGAACGCUGGCGGCAGGCCUAACACAUGCAAGUCGAGCGAGCGGCGGACGGGUGAGUAAUGUAUGGGGACCUGCCUGAUGGCGGGGGAUAACUACUGGAAACGGUAGCUAAUACCGCAUACCAUCAGAUGUACCCAUAUUGGGUUAGCUAGUAGGUGGGGUAAUGGCCCACCAAGGCGACGCUCGCUAGCUGGUCUGAGAGGAUGAUCAGCCACACUGUAACUGAGACACGGUCCAGACUCCUACGGGAGGCAGAAGUGGGGAAUAUUGCACAAGGGGCGCAAGCCUGAUGCAGCCAUGCCGCGUGUAUGAAGAAGGCCUUCGGGUUGUAAAGUACUUUCAGCGGGGAGGCGUUACCCGCAGAAGAAGCACCGGCUAACUCCGUGCCAGCAGCCGCGGUAAUAC
rnacentral:rRNA from 1 species